AGUUUAGUGUUAAAUUUGAAGAGAGUGCUUAUUGUGCAUGAGAAUUUUUGUAGAGAAAUCACUGAAAUCAGCCGUCCUAAGCCGAAGCAUAACAGUUACAGGAAGAAAAGGCAAAAUUGUGAGGUUAUCGAUUUCAUUUCCAUUUCAUCUUCCUCAGAAAAAAGAGAAACCCUAACUCUGCCUUGUUCGAUUACAGCCUUCAUAAGUCAUAACUCAGAAAUCAGAGCCUCCAUUCUAGCCCCAGGACACCGCGUCUCCCCCACGGUAUCGUCUCCUCGGUAGCUUACCCAAUAAAUUGUUCUCAUCUCGUUUUCUCUGUUAAUGUGUGUGUGUGAGAGAGAUAUGAUAAGGAAAUGGCUUUUGUUUGGGGUUGUGAAUUGGUGAUAUAAUAGUUCAAGGAAUAAACAUUGAUGAUGCUGUUGUGUGUUUCUAGCAUCUUAGGCUAGAAAGAAAAGAAAGAACUUAGACCAGUUUUACAGUGUCGGUGUAUUUGAGAUCUGAAACUGUGUUGUGACUGAUCUACCUGCCUUUGAGCGGUUUUGUUAGGAGAUUUCCUCAAGACUUAAUUGGUGGAAGGAAUUUUACAUUUUGCAGAUUUCUUGAUUGAAGGUUUCAACCGCUAUUAUGGGCUUGCUGUAGCUGCUGCUGCCUAUGCUGGUAGAUAUGGCAUUCAGGCUUGGCAAGCAUUCAAGGCAAGACCACCUAGGAUGCGUAAAUUUUAUGAAGGUGGUUUCCAGGUUACCAUGACUAGGAGGGAAGCGGCUCUCAUACUCGGUGUUAGGUACUGCCAUUUGUUGUUCUACUGUGAUGAUGAUCCUCAGAUGGUAUCUCAUUGCAACAAUCACUUAAAAGAGGAAAAAAUCUCUAAUAUCAAAUAGGUUGCAACACUGUUCUCAGGUUGAUUUCAUUCAAUUGUGAAAGAGAACACACUCCGACGGAUAAGGUUAAAGAAGCACAUAGGAGGGUGAUGAUCGCGAAUCAUCCUGAUGCAGGUGGCAGCCAUUACCUGGCAUCCAAAAUCAAUGAGGCAAAGGAUGUGUUGCUUGGAAAGACAAAGGGUGGUGGAUCAGCAUUUUGAAAAUAAUUAAGUCACGCUACAGUUUAGACAGUUGUUCUUGCUGAUACAAGUAUGAGAGAGUGGACAUGGGAUAAUGCACCAAAAUAAUCUAAUGGUAUAGAUCUUAGCAUAAUUUUACAUCAAUAUUCUUUUUAUUACAUCUAUACUGGGAUUAUCAUGGUGCAUCGUGUCACUUGGUACAUAAUGAUGUUCAAAUUGUAAUAAUGUUGGACUUUAGACUGGGUGGUGCGUUUGAUGUUUAAAGUUUAAACAAUAUGAUUUGAAUUUUCAUGUCAGUUUCAUAAACUUGGUGAGAUGUGAUUUAUAGAUGUGAAUUUAAUGUUUAUUUCUCUUCA